UCGUAACAAGGUUUCCGUAGGUGAACCUGCGGAAGGAUCAUUAUCGAGUUUUGACCGGGUUGUAGCUGGCCUUCCGAGGCAUGUGCACGCCCUGCUCAUCCACUCUACACCUGUGCACUUACUGUGGGCUUCAGAUUGCGAGGCACGCUCUUUACCGGGCUUGCGGAGCAUAUCUGUGCCUGCGUUUAUCACAAACUCUAUAAAGUAACAGAAUGUGUAUUGCGAUGUAACACAUCUAUAUACAACUUUCAGCAACGGAUCUCUUGGCUCUCGCAUCGAUGAAGAACGCAGCGAAAUGCGAUAAGUAAUGUGAAUUGCAGAAUUCAGUGAAUCAUCGAAUCUUUGAACGCACCUUGCGCUCCUUGGUAUUCCGAGGAGCAUGCCUGUUUGAGUGUCAUGAAAUCUUCAACCUACAAGCUUUUGUGGUUUGUAGGCUUGGACUUGGAGGCUUGUCGGCCGUUAUCGGUCGGCUCCUCUUAAAUGCAUUAGCUUGGUUCCUUGCGGAUCGGCUCUCGGUGUGAUAAUGUCUACGCCGYGACCGUGAAGCGUUUGGCGAGCUUCUAACCGUCUUAUAAGACAGCUUUAUGACCUCUGACCUCAAAUCAGGUAGGACUACCCGCUGAACUUAAGCAUAUCAAU
rnacentral:rRNA from 1 species